GCACACUUAAUUUUCUCUUAUAUAGAAGAGAGUUUCAGAAAAUUUCAACAUGUCUGCUUGGUGGUCAUUCAAUUGACAAAUAAGAAUAUUUUUGUCAUUCCAAGCAUUGUAUGUGUAUGUGUGGUGCAUUCUCAAUAUUGCUCCACCUAAUUUUUAUUGCCACCGCAUUACAGGUGGCUUUCAUGCACCUCUUUUCAUCCUUUUCCUUGGCAAUAGAAUUUCAAGCUUCAUCUUUGUGCUUCGUGUUCCUGCAAUUUCCAGGACCGCACUCUUUCAUCUUCGAGCUUCUCCAAGUAUAUACUGACUUUUCAUCUUCAAUCUUCUCCAACUAUUGCUGCAAUUUUGAGUUUGAAUAUGAGAAGAAUCCAAAAUGCAUGAUAAAUACUCAAAGAACCAUUAAAAAGCAGAAACAAAUCAAUCACAAAAAAAAUAAAAUGAACCACCGAAACAAGGAGUGCAUUUCAUGUGCAAGUCCAAGUCGUACAUACCCCACUGAUUUAUCCGAGGCAGCACCAGCAAUUACUUCUUUUGCACCAUCCUGUGUUGCAGAGGUGCAAGCAUCUUCACAGGAUGAUGUCGAGAUGGCCCUCCUAAAUUAACAGGAAAAUUUUCUAGCGAAGACAGAGAUUUGCGUAUGAAAGAGGAAGACAUGUAGGCAAUUACGGUGAAGUUGAGUAGAAAAUAUUAUACUUUGUUUACCUGAGAAGUGAGUUCCUCAUAUGAAAUAUGCUUUCGGAGAAACAUAAUGAGAGAGAUUGAAUUUUCUCUAUGUUCAGCAAUUGCGAAUGGUCUGCUAUGGCUUGGUAUGUGGCGUCACAAUGAUUUUUUUUCUAGAAUUCUAAGGUCUUGAAGAAAUAGGAAGAUACUUGAUCUUGGGUUAUUUAUCUAUAUGAUUAUCCGUGAGGUGACAUGUGAUUCUUCAAAGUCUUGAGGAUGAACAAGUAUGACUUGGAACAAGCAGUAGCUGGAGGAGUAGGGUUUCAACAACAAAGAGAUGAAUGAGGAGUUGCUCAAGAAGAAUAACGGCAACAUUAGAUCAUGAUAUAUUACAAACCCUUAAGUUUAUAAAGAGUUGACUUAGUUUUUUGGAUUAUCUUUCAGUUUAACGCAGGAAAAAAGGAAGAGAAAAAUUCUUAUCCCCAUCAGCUUGAAUUUAUUUCAUAUCUGUGAUGCUCUUUGAGUUAUUAUCUACUAUGAAUUGUUCCAAAAAUCUGCAAUGUUGUUGUAAAACAUUGUGUCUAAAUUUUGUUAUUUGGAUGGUAAGAAGUUCACUUUAUUUGUAGUUUCGGAAGUAUGGAAUUAAGAGGGACACUCUUUUUUCUUUUUUUUUUACAAGGGUAAGAAGUUUGAAUUGGUGUAACAAAAAUCUAAUCUUUAGGUUUCUCAUUCUUCCA